UACGGAGGGGGCAAGCGUUGUUCGGAAUUACUGGGCGUAAAGCGCGCGUAGGCGGACGGGUAAGUCGCGGGUGAAAUCCCGCGGCUCAACCGUGGAACUGCGGGCGAUACUGGCUGUCUUGAGGUCGGGAGAGGUGAGUGGAAUUCCUAGUGUAGAGGUGAAAUUCGUAGAUAUUCGGAGGAACACCAGUGGCGAAGGCGGCUCUCUGGCCAGGUUCUGACGCUGAGGUGAGAAAGCUUGGGGAGCAAACGGG
rnacentral:rRNA from 1 species